UACCUGUGAUGAAAAGAUUCUGCCAAAUGAAUUACUCUUGAUUAUAUCCCUUACCGUUCCAUUUUUGUCUGAGGCU
ensembl:snoRNA